UACGGGGGGGGCAAGCGUUGUUCGGAAUUACUGGGCGUAAAGGGCUCGUAGGCGGCCAACUAAGUCAGACGUGAAAUCCCUCGGCUUAACCGGGGAACUGCGUCUGAUACUGGAUGGCUUGAGAUUGGGAGAGGGAUGCGGAAUUCCAGGUGUAGCGGUGAAAUGCGUAGAUAUCUGGAGGAACACCGGUGGCGAAGGCGGCAUCCUGGACCGGCAUUGACGCUGAGGCGCGAAAGCCAGGGGAGCAAACGGG
rnacentral:rRNA from 1 species